rnacentral:sRNA from 1 species
GGUGGUGGAAGUUAACCUGAAACCGCCACGUCGUGUGACAACAGUCCACUGACCUGCAUCGUGCAGG